CACAGAAGUUCCAUUGGUCUUGUAACAGUCUAGUUCUAGACCUCAAGAAUUAGAAAUGAAGUUACCUCUACCUCUACUCUCACUACAGAUUUAUAAAUUGUACCCAAACAAAUGGUCGCCUACUCACUCACAGAGGACUGAUAUGAAGAGCCAUGCACUUCCUUUCACCACCACUCUUAAAUCUUAGGACUCUGCUCUAUAUGUGUCGCUUUUACUCAGAAUGAAUGUAAAGGGAAGUAUAAACAGGGAGUAGGGGGGUAACCAGGGAAAUAGCUAAGAGAUUUUUGCUUAUUUCAGGUCAGAUUUUGCUUGGGUUUUUCCCUUUCUGUUCCCCCAGACCAUCAGUCAGGACAUCAAAUUUGCUCAGAUUUAUCACCUUCCUGCUUGAAGUCUCCCAGCUUCCUCCUCCCCACAGCCCGACCUCUUCUGGCCACAUACUCUUCUAGAGAUUGACAUUCCUCUCCUUACACAAGUACAGGGGAAGAACUGAACACAACUGGAGCCCCGAGUCCUCAAGAAACUGACAAGAGAAGGCAGGACUGGGGGCCAAGGCAUCUCUUAAAACAACCAAAGGAUUCUGACAUGACAUAGUGAAAAUGAUCCUGGAGAAAACAAAGUCAGCGCUGCGAUUGACUAGACAGAUCCACUACCUAUUGACUUGGGGCUACGUCCUCUGGAGGCCCUAAAAAUAAUAAAAAUAAAAAUGCACCCUCA